rnacentral:lncRNA from 1 species
CACGGUUCCUAGAUGGCCUUCGGAAGCAGCCAUCAUCAGGGGAGUGCGGCCCUGCUUGUCUGCCAUGUUGACAUCAGCUCCAUGGGCCAGAUGUAGAAGAUCCAAUGGAGAAUUCUGAGGCCCAAGGUGAUUUUAGAACUACUACACGGAAGGAGCCUGCCCAGACAUCUGCACUGUACUGUGAUCUGGUGCAGAUUGAGAAUUCUAGCAGUUUGGGAGAAGUUAAAGCCUCUCAACAGGGAACACUGCAUUUAAAGGAUCCUGUAAACUGCAGCACCAGGAAAACCAUAGUCCAAGUCUUCAUUCUUCAGCUUGCAGUCACGUCACCACCAUAUGCUGUACACUAGAGUAUUUAUGGCUUGAAUCACACAUGGAGCCAGUCUUAUCUCAGGCAACCAUGCUGUCUGCAUCAGUAUAAGAUAAAACUGUGCUAAUGACAGGAGGGCAUGUUUAAAUGUACGUUUCCAUGUAUGGGAUAAAAUACUUCGUCAAAUGAAGCUUGGUCAAAUGAAGCUUCAUGCUACUUCUCUGUGAAUGUGGUAUUUAUUUUAUGGGGCAGCAAAGGCAGGGAUUAGCUUCAUUUUUGCAUCUGAUUCUAGGCAGAUAGUGAUGCUAAAAGGUUAAUGCUUAAGUUACUGUCUUUCAGUUACUAUCUAACAGCAGGACAAUGCUCUUAGAGUUUAUGGAAUUAUUAGCUACUUUUUAGUCUGCUUGAAACUGGAAUGCCAUACCUUGCCAGUUAUUUUAGCUCCACUCUGCUCCUACUAAGUAAGGUCAUUUUUGGUACAGUGAUUUGUUAGACAAGACAAGUAAGAUUCAAAUACAAGAUUUGUCACUGUGGGUUUCACUUCUGUCCAUCUGAUGACCAGGCUGCUCUGGCUCUGUGCUUAUAUAUUGGGAAGAAUUUGCUAGGCUCUUGAAGUUAUCCUUAAUGCCAUCUUUCUCUCUGAAGACAAUGGUUUCAUUUUUUAACAAUAUCCUGUGGGGGAAGCCUGACCCAGAGAACUGUUUAAGAUACCCAUAUUCUCCAUCCUGAGGCAGGAAAAGAAUUCUGAAAAGGCUGUAGGGAUUGGAACUCUCAGACUGUGGGACAGAAAAAUUAGCACAGUAACUUCCUUCUCCACUUUUGUGGGUUAACCCAAAACUGUUAUCUGAACUACAAAUUCCUUAAGAUUAGGGAUUGUAUCUUUUUUGUUUUUGUAUCUCUAGUACCCAGUUUAAUGCCUCAGUAAGUGAUGAAUAAACAAAUGAAUGCAUACAUGCACAAACAAAUUAUGUGUCCUCUUUUUGGUCCUCCAUUUCAGCCUUCUGAAGGCUGAGAGAGAAGCUGAUGUUAUAGAGUUCUUAAAGGUUUUCAAACUAAUGGGAGAAAAACUGGGAUAUAAUUUGAAGAGAGAUUUGGGGGAAGUAGCUCCAAGGAAGGUUAGUGUUGGUUUGAAAGUCAUAGCACCAGGAAUGUUAUUAUUGUCACUAAAACAAUUUUAAAAAAUGGAAAGAGUAAUUGCCCUCAGUGAUUUUUUAGA